rnacentral:rRNA from 1 species
AUUGAACGCUGGCGGCAGGCCUAACACAUGCAAGUCGAGCGAGCGGCGGACGGGUGAGUAAUGUCUGGGAAACUGCCUGAUGGCGGGGGAUAACUACUGGAAACGGUAGCUAAUACCGCAUACCAUCAGAUGUGCCCAGAUGGGAUUAGCUAGUAGGUGGGGUAAUGGCUCACCUAGGCGACGAUCCCUAGCUGGUCUGAGAGGAUGACCAGCCCAACUGGAACUGAGACAGGGUCCAGACGCCUACGGUAGGCAGCAGUAGGGAAUAUUGCACAAUGGGCGCGAGCCUGAUGCAACCAGGCGAGGUGUGUGAAGAAGGCCUUCGGGUUGUAAAGCACUUUCAGCGGGGAGACGUUACCCGCAGAAGAAGCACCGGCUAACUCCGUGCCAGCAGCCGCGGUAAUAC